AUACGGAGGAUCCGAGCGUUAUCCGGAUUUAUUGGGAUUAAAGGGUGCGCAGGCGGCCAUUUAAGUCAGCGGUUAAAUCGUGGGGCUCCACCCCAUUCUGCCGUUGAUAUUGGGUGUCUUGAUUGCGAUCGAGGGUGGCGAGAUUCGUAGUGUAGCGGUGAAAUGCAUAGAUAUGACGUAAAACACCGAGUGCGUAGGCAGCUGACCAGACCGCAAAUGACGCUCAUGCACGAAAGUGCGGGGGUCGAACAGGAUUAGAUACCCUGGUAGUCCGCACAGUAAACGAUGAAUACUUGUUUUCGGCGAUAUAAUGUCGGAGGCAAAGCGAAAGCGAUAAGUAUUCCACCUGGGGAGUACGCCGGCAACGGUGAAACUCAAAGGAAUUGACGGGG
rnacentral:rRNA from 1 species